CCUGCCCCUAAAGGCAUUGUAGGUGUGACUACUAGGUCACAUGUGCCUCAGUAGGUGGCAGAGAGGAGAGAGGUUGUGUUUUGCCCAGUUUCCUGAUCUGUGAACAUCUGAAUGAUUAGUAGCCUAAUGGU